CGGGGGGCAGCAGUGGGGAAUAUUGCACAAUGGGCGCAAGCCUGAUGCAGCAACGCCGCGUGAGGGACGACGGCCUUCGGGUUGUAAACCUCUUUUAGUAGGGAAGAAGCGAAAGUGACGGUACCUGCAGAAAAAGCACCGGCUAACUACGUGCCAGCAGCCGCGGUAAUACGUAGGGUGCAAGCGUUAUCCGGAAUUAUUGGGCGUAAAGAGCUCGUAGGCGGUUUGUCACGUCUGCUGUGAAAACUGGAGGCUCAACCUCCAGCCUGCAGUGGGUACGGGCAGACUAGAGUGCGGUAGGGGAGAUUGGAAUUCCUGGUGUAGCGGUGGAAUGCGCAGAUAUCAGGAGGAACACCGAUGGCGAAGGCAGAUCUCUGGGCCGUAACUGACGCUGAGGAGCGAAAGCAUGGGGAGCGAACAGGAUUAGAUACCCCAGU
rnacentral:rRNA from 1 species